GUUUGCGAGGAAACUUUUUAAUAAGCCUGUGAGUUAGACAGCGUUGCUAUACUCCUUACAUUGUUUUUCAAAUACAGGAAAUGAGGCGUGACCACAUUUACCCAGAGAUGAGGGCAAGAACCCAAACGCAGAUCUUAAAACGGGUGGGUCAGGGUCCCUCCUACCCAGCCCACUACCUGGGGAGGCCAUAAAGCCAAACAGUGAAGAGUGUGGCGUCUGGAUUCACACCAAUCAGGUGAAAACCUUGGUUCUACCACUUACUGUCGUGAGCUUCACAAGUUCCUUAGCCUCUUGGCCUCAAUUUCCUCAUCUGUAAAAUGGGUAUAUUAAGAAGAUUGCAAUAAAGAUGGCAAUAAAGAUUACUUGAGUAACUAUACCUUAAAAUAUUAAACAGAUCAAUCAGUAAAUCACUCCAUAAACGUAACAUGACCAGGCAGGGUGGGUAUUUGUGAGCCUGUGCAAUAUCGAAGCAACACAUCAGCCAAGAUCACCAUAACGUGAUGGAAAACUCUAACCAGAGAGAAGCAGGCCUUGAAGACACAGCCUGCGUGCUGUGGACAGCUCUGGCCGUGCACAUGCAGCGAACAGCAGCCUGGGACCUAGGGGUGCCCCCCACCCCCUCGACAGCCACCAAGCUCAGGACCCUCACUGGAAUCCUGCCAGCAUCCUGCAUGAGCCUGGAAGCAGAUCCUUCCUCAUCCACGUGUCCAGAUGACGACGCAGCCUGGCCGACACCUUAACCGCAGCCUGUAAGGCCCUGGGCAGGGGGACCCUGGUUCCCUUUUACAUACAGGUUUUCCUCUCCAAAUGCACCCCUUUGCAGGCAAAUUUGCUUUGCAAAAGGGCGAAUCCGAUUUGCCAAAGGGUGAGUUUGAAGCGGAAAACCUGUAUGAGACAUGCCCAGACCCCUCACUCACAGAAGCUGGGAGAUAACGUGUACCGUGUGUGUUUGUUUUUUAAUGUCAUAAGCCAACCACAGAGAGUAUUUUGUAAGUAAAGAAGGAAAAACUAAAAA